UCUUAUUUACAGACAAGUUACGAAGAUUGACACGUUUUUCCCCUCGAGAUUCGUCUAUGUAAGCGACCGAAUGAUGUAGAUGCAGUAUUAGUUUCAUUUCGGUUAACGACUAAAGUAGACAUUUCAUCUUUAUUGGGUCUGCAGCUCCAUUCUAUACCUCGUCACAAUGAAUGCCAAUUUCUUUGCAGCUGUCUUGUUGACAUUUUCUGCAUUCGUCUCCAUCGGCUAUGGACUCCCGACCGGAGCACCAACCACUGCCUGUAAGGACAUGACGCCCAACCAUUUGAAUUACCGUCCGCAAACUUCCGCAUCUCCAUUCCGUACUGUUCCGGCAAAUACGUUGAUGGCUGCAGGAGAAAACCUGUCGACAUUUUACUAGAAACCACUACCACUAAUCAAUUCCGAGGUUUUCUCACCAUGGCGUUCGACGCCUCGAAUACCGGUGCCGGACCCAUCGGCACCAUCAGCAGCGUGAGUGACGGACAGGUGAUUGAAUGCACAGCAGGAUUUCUCAAUGCUGCUACCCAUGUGGACAAUAUAGAUAAGAGCCAAGUCAGUUUGGUUUGGACCGCCCCUGCUGAUUUCACUGGCACUGUAGUCUUUUGGACUACCUUUGUUCAAGCACAAGAUAUUUUCUGGGUCCAGGUACCUUCAGCGACUGUCACUGUGGCAUAAACUGUCAAAUUCUUUGUCUACCCUUAUUGAUUGUCGCCGCUUGUCGUAAUGCAAUUGAUGUGCGUUAAUCCAUUCAAAUGU